UUAAAGACUAUGAAGAGAAGAGUAGGUAUAGAAGGUAGUUAUAGAGAGCUGGCUAUGGUGGAAUGUCGGUACGAAAUCUAUAUUGAAGAACAUCUCAGAGUCUCUAACCGAAAUCUUAUGAAAGUAGACUUAGACGGAUUCGCACCGUUAUUAGCGAGCAGUAUUAAAUUAGUACUGUUAUUGAGUUGGUCAUUUUAUAUGACAAUUAGGGUGGUACCGCGAAAUAUAGCCUUUCGUCCCUUUA
rnacentral:ncRNA from 1 species